rnacentral:rRNA from 1 species
ACAAGGUUUCCGUAGGUGAACCUGCGGAAGGAUCAUUGUCGAAACCUGCCUAGCAGAGCGACCCGCGAACUCGUUUCAUACUUUGGGCAUCCACGUCGGCUUUCGCCCCGUGGCUCCCGUCGCGUCCUCGAGGGGGCACCAGCUCCCUCGAGGACUGCACUAACAACGAACCCCGGCGCGGACUGCGCCAAGGAAAUCACAACGGGAGUGCGCUCUUUCGUCGCCCCGGAAACGGUGCGCGCCACGGAAGCGGUGCCUUCUUCUAUUAUCCAUAACGACUCUCGGCAACGGAUAUCUCGGCUCUCGCAUCGAUGAAGAACGUAGCGAAAUGCGAUACUUGGUGUGAAUUGCAGAAUCCCGUGAACCAUCGAGUCUUUGAACGCAAGUUGCGCCCCAAGCCUUUAGGCCGAGGGCACGUCUGCCUGGGUGUCACGCAUCGUUGCCCCCCAAACCCAAUCCCCACAGCGGGUGCGGGCGUUGAUGGGGGCGGACAUUGGCCUCCCGUGCGGCUCGUUCCCGCGGUUGGCCUAAAUACGAGUCAUCGGCAGCGGAUGCCGCGACGUUCGGUGGUGGAAAGAAGCCCUCGAUCUCGCGCCGCGCGUGCGCUGCCUCUCCAGGGCUCAACAAGACCCUCCGAGCGCAUUCUCGCCCAGCGGGAACGCUCGCAUCGCGACCCCAGGUCAGGCGGGAUUACCCGCUGCAUAUC